AGCAGCCGCGGUAAUUCCAGCUCCAAUAGCGUAUAUUAAAGUUGUUGCAGUUAAAAAGCUCGUAGUUGAAUUUCGGGAUCAAUUAAUUGGUCGUGCCUCUGGUACGUACUGAUUUUAUUGGUUUCUCCCUUCUGACGAACCAUGAUGUCAUUAAUUUGGUGUCGUGGAGAAUCAGGACUGUUACUUUGAAAAAAUUAGAGUGUUUAAAGCAAGCUAACGCUUGAAUACAUUAGCAUGGAAUAAUGAAAUAGGACGUUUGAUCCUAUUUUAUUGGUUUCUAGGAUCGACGUAAUGAUUAAUAGGGAUAGUUGGGGGCAUUAGUAUUCAAUUGUCAGAGGUGAAAUUCUUGGAUUUAUUGAAGACUAACUACUGCGAAAGCAUUUGCCAAGGAUGUUUUCAUUAAUCAAGAACGAAAGUUAGGGGAUCGAAGACGAUCAGAUACCGUCGUAGUCUUAACCAU
rnacentral:rRNA from 1 species